AAGUUGCUAGCUCCCGCCUCAUCUUCUUUUCCGGGCUUAAACAUUCAUCUCACAGCCCACCGGCCUCUCCACGAGAGCUGGCAUUUUGGAGGUCCCCAGCAAAACUCUUAGCGCUCUCCUUUGGCCACCUCUUUGUCUGGCAUGACAACUUUCAGGGAAGGACCUCACCUCCUGCGGAGAGCCCUGGCCCCACACAUUGGCUUCUAUCUCUCACCUGCUCCGUGUGCUGGAACCCAAACUCUCACCUGAUUCGGCCACGCGGUCUUUCAAACUCUGCCUCCGGCCUACCUGCUUCUUUCUAACUGGACAGCCGCCCUCGUUGCCUACUUGGAGACUGUGAGCCUCCCUGUGGUUUCCUGCUCCUCUCCUAUUAAUUUUUGGGAGAUCUUGAGACUGUAAAUGUAGGCCCUCCUUCCGUCACACCUGAAUGCUUUGCUUCCUUUAAAAAAAAUUUUUUUGGGGGGGGGUGAGGAGAGCACAAGCAGGGGAGGGGACCGAGAAAGGGGGACUGGGGAUCUGCAGCAGGCUCUGCGCUGACGGGCUGACGGCAGUGAGCCGGAUGUGGGGCUCGAACUCACGAACCUCGAGAGCAUGACCUGAGCCAAGGUCAGACGUUCACACAACUGAGCCACCCAGGUGCCCCCUGAAUGCUUCUCUGUUCCGUGUGGACGGAAGACAGCAUCUCGGACAACAUCCCUGUUUCUUAAGAGGGUCAACACCAUCACGGAUGUGAGAGCAUCGUGCAACCAAGUGUUAUGCCAAUGACCAUGAGGAUGACCAGUGUUGUUCCUUCUCCCAGUUUCAGAGAGGGGCACCCCCCCCCUUUUGUUCCUUUUUGUGAUUCUGUGUCCUCCUGGCUGCUUUUCACGUCCUUUUCCAAAGCCUUCCCUCUUCCCACCCAGGAAUGCCACAUGGUGCUUCAUCAUUUCCAGUGACAGCCAAAUAAUUGAAUUGUUAUUGGUUUGGAAGGGGGAGAAAUGUUUGCUAAAUUGUUCCUCUUUGGAUAAUGUUCACGUACUUCCCAGUUGUGAUUUA